rnacentral:rRNA from 1 species
UACGUAGGGGGCGAGCGUUGUCCGGAUUUAUUGGGCGUAAAGAGCGUGUAGGCGGCCAGGUAGGUCUGCUGUGAAAACUCGAGGCUCAACCUCGAGACGUCGGCGGAAACCAUCUGGCUAGAGUCCGGAAGAGGAGAGUGGAAUUCCUGGUGUAGCGGUGAAAUGCGCAGAUAUCAGGAGGAACACCGGUGGCGAAAGCGCUUGUCUGGCCCAAUACUGACGCUGAUGCGCGAAAGCUAGGGGAGCAAACGGG